CGGGCUGUGGUAUAGUGGUAUUACGCGCGAUUCGGGUUCGCGUAAUCCCGGUUCGAUUCCGGGCAGCCCGACCA
rnacentral:tRNA from 1 species